UACGUAGGGUGCGAGCGUUGUCCGGAAUUAUUGGGCGUAAAGGGCUCGUAGGCGGUCUGUUGCGUCAGGAGUGAAAACUCGGGGCUUAACUCCGAAACUGCAUUCGAUACUGCCGUGCUUGAGGACUGGAGAGGAGACUGGAAUUUACGGUGUAGCGGUGAAAUGCGUAGAUAUCGUAAGGAAGACCAGUGGCGAAAGCGAAUCUCUGGGCAGCAGCAGACGCUGAGGCACGAAGGCCAGGGGAGCAAACGGG
rnacentral:rRNA from 1 species